GAGUCAUUUAUGGAAGUUGUGCAUUUGCUCGUUUUGUUUGUAUCGUAAGGAUCAUGCCGAAAGAAACAAGAGAUAACCUUAACAUAUCUAGAAGGAAAAAAUCCGUAUAAUAUCCUUAAAAAAAUUGUACCUUAUUCCUUUAGAAUCACAGAAACUCACGUUGCUACUAUUCUAAGAAAUGUCGUUGGCAUUGUUUUGUUUCAAGAUUAAUUUCCGUUGAAGCCUGCAAAAUUGUUGGAAUCGUUCUUGAUGAGUUGAAAUUUAACUUCUGUACUUGAAAUAGUUUGAAGUAGGAGAAAGGUAUAUGAUCU
rnacentral:lncRNA from 1 species